rnacentral:lncRNA from 1 species
UUGAAUUUUUAUCUAGAAAGUUUAGGCACCAAAUUCAACCCGCUGAAUCUUUUUUUAAAUUUUUAUUGAAUUUCAUCUUUUUUGAUUUUUUUGACUUUUUUGACUGAUUUUUUUGCGGGAUUAAUUUUUUUAUAUUCAAUCACAGUGCCACAAAUAUGUAUGUAAAAUUUCAGAUCAAUUGGACAACGUUUACCCACUUAAAUGAAUUUUUUUGAACAAUUUUUCUGGGUAAAUCUGCUGUUUUUGCUUUAAAAAAUUGAGAUCAGUUUAGAAAUCAACCAAGAACACCCAAAACACCCAAAAUCUGAUACCAAAUGAUAC